AUGAGGGGAAAGGGAAAGUACCUUACUUUAAGAAGAGGGAUCCAGAAGGGGCAACACUAGAAAGAGGAACAAUCCAGGCACUGGCAGAUUUUGAAAGGGAAACGCCUUGGUCAAACGAAAAUGGAGAAACGUCUCAUAGAACUUUAGUUCACCACAUUAAGGAUUUCGUUGGGGGCGAAUGCGGCGAAUUAUUUAUAAAAACAUUUUGUGGUCUUGUGGAACACAAGAAAGAACAACAUACUGAUCCAGAUUUAGCUACAGAGGUCAGCCGCAAACGUGCCAAAGAAGAACCGGACGCAAAAAUAUUAUUGGGUGCAUUAACAGUAGCGGUCGCAGAUGCCCGUAAGUAAACAAUUCUGCAAUGUAAA